CAAUUUUGUAGAAAUAAAAUGGGGGGGGAUUUUUUAUGUUGUGGUCAGUUUGACCGCAAACCUCACUGCGCAUGCGUACAUCGUCACCAUAUUUGAAAAGAUCAUGGGGGGAAAAUGAGAGGCUCCUCACAUCUUCAAAGAAAGUCUUUGUGACUCGGCAACAAGUAUUUGAAAUAGGAUCAUAGGUUACUAAAUGUUCAACUUUGAUAUUACGUGUAUCGAUUGUACAGUUAGAUGAAUUGGCAAUAUUAUCUCUUGUCAGUAUUUGUGUAGUUUGGACACACGGAGUUGCCGUCAAACAUAGCCGUUUGACUUCCUACUUCCCGUUUAUUUUUUAUAUUUUUUAACACGAGAAAACAAGUCCUAUGCCAAGCAUCAAAUCUUACAUUUUCGCAUAUUUCAGCUGCCAGUCAUUUUGAAGCCGCGACGACACGUGACGUGGAUGUCAUUCCAUCGCGUCGGAGAGAAGCUGAUACAUGAGUGGGGUAGCUUCAGUAGGGAUACCUUCCCUUUUCCCCAGCCACUUCUUCCAGCUCUUCCGGAGGACUCCCGAGGCGUUCCCAAGCCAGUCUCUCCAGCGUGUCCUGGGUCACCUCAAGGUCUCUUAAGGUGGGACGUGCCCGGAACACCUCACCAGGGAGGCGUCCAGGAGGCAUCUGAAUCAGAUGCCCCAGCCACCUCAUCUAAACGUGGGGGAAGUAGCUUCAGCAGGGAAAACCCAGACUUCCCUUUUCCCCAGCCACUUCUUCCAGCUCUUCCGGAGGGGUCCCGAGGCGUUCCUAAGCCAGCCGGGUGACACGGUCUCUCCAGCGUGUCCUGGGUCACCUUCAAGGUCUCUUUCCGGUGGGACGUGCCCGGAGCACCUCACCAGGGAGGCGUCCAUAAGGCAUCCGAAUCAGAUGCCCCAGCCACCUCAUCUGGCUUCUCUCAAGCGGCUCGACACUGAUGACCGAGCUUCUGACCCUAGUUCAGGGACCGCUCUCCACCGACUAGUGUUCAAUCGAUUAGUCCGUACGAUUCCUAAAUUCGGACCCCUACCUGGCGACUUUUGGGGGAUUUUGCGUCACUGACAUCAGGCAGGUGCCCCACCGGUUGCUACGCUUACCCCCGAGGGGCUCAGGUCCGGGUGCCGUAACGCCAGAGGUCAGAGGGUUAAUGGAGCCGAGUGGCGCCGGCCCCAAAUCCUGGGUGGAUUUGGUAAACAGCGAAGCUGUCACUGCGGAUUAAUACGCCGAGGAGCCAGAACAGGCUCCAAACGGACGAGGGUUGGGUGUGGGGGGGGGGCUAAUGGCUCCCAAGUCAGCCGUGAAAGUGGCUCUCUUGCCCAUUCUCCUGUCUCCCCCGUCCUCAAAGAUAAGCCCACUCGCAGGGAAGAGGAGGGGGAAGGCGCAACAACUUGAGUCCCGGACGAUAACGCGAACCACACCUGAUUCUGAUCCUUCAGCGGCGGGCCGAGCCGAGCGUUUACGGUCCUACCUCGGCCUUCGAUGGGGGCUCGCCCGACUUCACCCGAGUCCAAAUGCCAACAAUAUCACCUUACCAUUAUUCGGACCCUUUACAACACCGAGGCUACCAUCUAAAAAUAAAAUACUUGGACCUCCAAGUUCCACCUGACCGACCAGACCCAGGUGGCUUCAUUCCUAAAAGGUACAAUAAUGAGAAUACUUUGAUCCAAGAUGAGACUGAGGGCAACAAGAAUCGCAUGGAGGAUUGCAGCAAAGUGGAGACUUCAGACACAAAUCAAUUGUUACUCAAAAAACAAACAACAACAAUGGAGGAGAAAGACAGUCUCCGGAAUUCCAAGGAAAUGAAUCGUAUCCAAGGGGAGACUAAGGGCGCCACGUAAAAGGGAGCAUUGCAGUAAAGUGGAGACUUCAGACACAAAUCAAUUGUUACUCAAAAAACAAACAACAACAAUGGAGGAGAAAGACAGUCUCCGGAAUUCCAAGGAAAUGAAUCGUAUCCAAGGGGAGACUAAGGGCGCCACGUAAAAGGGAGCAUUGCAGUAAAGUGGAAGGUGAGGGCGGUAAGAAAAUACUUUUUGUACGUAAGAAAAUAAGUUUACAGGACUCGGUCCUCCAACCUGAGGGCCUUUCUCUCCACUCUAACUCCUCUGCCCCCCCCCCCCACCCCAAAAAAAAAAAAAAACGUCCGGACGCCGGUCCUCGUUCUCCCGCUCUUAUUUCCUGCGCUUUCGCUGGCCGACAGGGAAGCGAGCAGGAAAUGAAAGCAGCAGAGGAGACAAACAAAUCCUUUGUUUGUUUCCUUAUGAUUAAAAAGCCCCCCCGAGGAUGAUCCGAGAUCAGCCUCGAAAAGAUUUAAAGGCCCCCGCCAAAUAGACGCCCUUGUUGCCCUCAGUCUCCACUUUAAUGUCGCCCGCAGUUUCAUUUCGGAUGCAAUUACUCGUAUGCAGUUGGCACCAUAAAUCAUUCCCUUCUUUUGUUGUUGUUCGUUGGCACGUCCUGUCCUCCUUCGCUGCAGUACCUCGAUUUUUGUCACCCGCUGUCCGCACUUUGCUGCAGCGCUCCUUUUGUCUCGGUCCCCUCAGUCUCCUUUUGGAUUCAAUUCAUCUCCUUAGAAGUUGAUAAAUGAGACUGUCCUUUUGUAUUAUUGUUGUUGUUGUUUGUUUGCUAGUCGAUUAUGUUCUGUUUUUUUGUUGGCUUCAGUCCCCGCUUUACUGCAGAGGUCCUUUUUUCAAGGUGCCCAGAGUCUCAUCUUGGAUUCAGUUAAUUUCCUUAGAAGUUGAUAAAUGAGACCGUCCUUUUGUAUUAUUGUUGUUGUUGUUGUUGUUUGUUUGCUAGUCUCUUAUGUUCCGUUUUUUGUUGCCUUCAGUCUCCGCUUUACUGCAGAGUUCCGUUUUUCAAGGUGCCCAGAGUCUCAUCUUGGAUUCAGUUCAUCUCCUUAGAAGCUGCCAACUUGUGACUUCUUUGCCUCUGCUUUUCACAACAUCAACUUUAUCAAUGUAAAUAUUCAAUUCAAUCGCGGUGGGACAAAGUCGUCACCAACCAAAACCGGACCUGACUAGAAACUCAAACAUACUUGAUCCCGUUCCCGAUCCCGACGAGGCUUCAUUUGGUGCCGCAUCCUCCAGCGGUGAAUGGCCGACUGUGUCGGCCCGCCGUGACCCCUCGACCCGCGUCCUUCAUCCCGUCUUCGUCGUGCCGGGCUAAGCCCUCUGCGCGACGGGACGAACCGCAGCCCCCUCCCCCCCCCCCCCAAUCAGUUCAUUUGGUGCAGAUCAACGGUGCUGAUGACAAGGUCCUGAUCCGAGGCUGUGGCCCAAACCAGGCCCGAACAAAAAACCCUUCUCAAGCGACGGCCUUGGAGCAAAUAACCCCCCCCCCCCACCACCCAAACCCCUGGGUGAAAGGGUCAGGAGGUUGUUGACCCGAGAUGGGUGGGGGGGGGGGACGCUGGGGCGAAGGAGGUGUCCGAGGUGGAGAGGGCGGAGGAAGGUGGGCUUGGUUGGGGUGGUGGGGUGGGGGGCGUCUCUGGUGUCCCUGCUGGUGGGCCAGCUGAACAAACAGGCUAAGGGGGAACAAGGCCGGACUUGAAGACCGCGAGCUGUGCAGAAGAACACGGACACCACUGGGCCAUAUUCUUCUUUCUGGCUCCGACAGAACAACACAUAUCAGAAUGCCACUGAAACGACGAGGGGGGGAUCGCAUGCACGCGUAAACGCACGGAAAGGGUUGUGUCGCAACGUUCUCACAGGGGCCGUCUAAUGACAUCCAGUACGCUUUCAGAGAGAAUGUGUUGAUCAUUAAAGUUUGCCAUGUCGAAUGACAUCACGAAGCCGAAAUAACCCCCCCAAAAUGAGGCUCGACUGCAAAACCGAAAAGACAGUAGGACUCGAUCCCGUAGCCCCUUUCACACGGUGAACAUGUCAAAGCCUAGCUUAGCUUUUAUAAGACGAGGCCUGUGGGGAACUGCGUCCUGCGGGAAAGUGGAGACUGAAGGAAAACGGAGCCAAGAAAAAAAUGGAGAUGGCAAAAAAAAUCAAAUUGUCGUAAGAAUUCUGCAGAGGACGAAUCCAGGCAACUGGACUGAAUCCAGAAGACUUUGAGAAUCCGAGGUGCAGCGUCCCACUGUUUACGUCUCGGCGGUCGUGUUCCCCGGGGGUGGUCAACAGCAGGUCGCGGUUGCCCCCGCGUGAGCCGUGAAACGAGCGAUCCGCAUGCUAAUCGGUCGUCGGCUCAUCGCGCGGCAGAACAGCUCGUCCGGGCCACUCUUGUCGUCGAGCGAGGCCGUCGUUGCGAGGGAAGGUUGUCAGGACGUUCCAGUUCCGGGCAGACUAGCGCAAUGACCGCCACGUUGGCGACACGCGCGACGUGUGGCAUCAUCGGGUUCACAAUCAACAGUUCGUUUGCAAAUCAGGAAACGUGGACAUUCUCGAGAGAUUUGAGGCCUCACCUGUCGUCUGCCUACGACAACGCCCGACAUUUCUCCUCCCAAAUAUCGCUUCAUUCCGCUGGAACUCCUAAGCUAACGAACGAGACUAGCGGACGACUUGUUGGUAUGCGAGGACGGCCCGUUUCGCUCGCACCUCGAGCGUCGACAUCACCCGAUUGUCGACCGCCCCCCCCCCGAGCGACGCAUCCAACGUGGAAGACUCCGCGUCUCAAAUUUAGAAACUGAAGAAGCCUUUUGGAGCAAGAAACGAGAGGACUCCGCUUGCCUCCGUUGGCCCUUCACGAUUGGAGGACUGAGAACCUGCAGACGCAUCGUUUUAAGGUACAUUCCCGCCGGCGGCGACGAACUUCGCUAGACAAGAAGAAGAAGUCCUCCAGUGGCCGUCUGUCUCCAAUCAUCUUCCCAAAACACACCCAGCCGGGCCCCCCCAAAACGCCAUGACAACACCCCCCCCCCCCCCCCCCCGCCCCCCUUAAUCCGCACCACAUGGAUGACAAAACCGGGUGGAAUUAACGGCAAAUGAUCCGGACUGGAACUGAAGCCGCGCAGAAACGGGCGGAAGAAACGCUCCGAGCUUUUUUUUUUUUUUUUUUUUGCGACGUCCCUCCAUUGUUUGGCCAGUUUAUAAAUCACCGCCGCCGACACCCGAUACCUAAGCCCGUUCGCCGGCCGUGUUUACAUCUUGCAAUCCCCCGAGGGGGGGGGCCGGGCGCUGCCGGGACGGUUCGGCCGCCCUCGGGAAAGGAAACGCAAAUUUUCGUCCGCUCCCUCGGAGAGACACGGCGGACAAGGAAUAUUAAUUUCACUUAAGGCCUGACAAUAAUAACAUAUUUCUGCACUUACAGUAUGUGUUUCUUUCUCCAUCCGUCCAGGGCGUUAUUAAAUGAUUUUUAAAAGCUCUCA